rnacentral:lncRNA from 1 species
AAACUUUUAAAAAUAAACCUACCCAGAUGCCCAAAAAUGAAAACCCAGAAGAAAGCAACUCAUUGGGAAUCAAAGAAGAGAGUGAUCGGCAGGAAGCCUCAACGACUUUGUUGGGAGGAGGAGAAUUGUCAUGGCAGUCAAAAGAUGACAGAGGAUUGGAGAUGACCCAAUUGAGGGCAAAAAAGAAAACUCCAACUUAAUGACCCAACCCCUCUCCAUAUGGGCUAGGGGCAUGGGAAUGGAUG